rnacentral:rRNA from 1 species
GAUGAACGCUGGCGGCGUGCCUAACACAUGCAAGUCGAACGGAGAUUACGGACGGAAGUUUUCGGAUGGAAGCCUGUAAUUCUUAGUGGCGGACGGGUGAGUAACGCGUGGGCAACCUGCCCUAUACAGGGGGAUAGCAGCUGGAAACGGCUGGUAAGACCGCAUAAGUCGGCGAGACCGCAUGGUUUUGCCGGGAAAUGAGCAAUCAGGUAUAGGAUGGGCCCGCGUCCAAUUAGCCAGUUGGCAGGGUAAAAGCCUACCAAAGCAACGAUCGGUAGCCGGACUGAGAGGUCGGACGGCCACAUUGGGACUGAGACACGGCCCAAACUCCUACGGGAGGCAGCAGUGGGGGAUAUUGCACAAUGGAGGAAACUCUGAUGCAGCGACGCCGCGUGAGUGAAGAAGUAUUUCGGUAUGUAAAGCUCUAUCAGCAGGGAAGAUGAUGACGGUACCUGACUAAGAAGCCCCGGCUAACUACGUG